rnacentral:misc_RNA from 1 species
UCGAGUUUUGAAAUGGGUUGUUGCUGGCCUUUUAAUUGAGGCAUUAUGUGCACGCCCUGCUCAUCCACUCUUAAACCUUAUGUGCACUCUUUGUAGAGCUUGGUGAAAGUUAGCUUGAUUAACAGGCUGACGGGAUCCUACUCUAUGUAUUUUAAUACAAACACUUUAGUUAUAGAAUGUUAUUACUUGCGUCUAACGCAUUAUAAAUA